GAUGAACGCUGGCGGCGUGCCUAACACAUGCAAGUCGAGCGAAGCGGGGACGGGGGAGUAACACGUGGAUAACCUCCUUUAAGACUGGGGUAAAUUCGGGAAAACGUUGCCAAACCGGCGUCUUAUACAUGGAUCCGUGCUGCAUUAGCUAGUUGGGAAGGUAACGGCGUACCAAGGCAACGAGGCAUAGCCGACCUGAGAGGAUGAUCGGCCACACUGGAACUGAGACACGGUCCAGACUCCUACGGGAGGCAGCAGUAGGGAAUCUUCCGCAAUGGGCGAAAGCCUGAUGCAGCAACGCCGCGUGAGUGAAGAAGGUCUUCGGAUCGUAAAGCUCUUUUAUUAGGGAAGCGGUACCUAAUCAGAAAGCCCCGGCUAACUACGUGCCAGCAGCCGCGGUAAUAC
rnacentral:rRNA from 1 species